rnacentral:rRNA from 1 species
AGCCUGCCCAGUGACCCUGUUCAACGGCCGCGGUAUCCUAACCGUGCAAAGGUAGCGUAAUCACUUGUUUUCUAAAUAAAGACUAGUAUGAAAGGCACCACGAGGAAUAAGCUGUCUCCUUUUUCUAAUCAGUGAAUCUAAUCUCCCCGUGAAGAAGCGGGGAUUUAAAUAUAAGACGAGAAGACCCUGUGGAGCUUAAGACUUUAUAGCACCUACCUACCCCCCCCCUACUACCCCGGUUAUUCUUCUAAGAGGUAUUUUAACUACACGUCUUUGGUUGGGGUGACCGCGGAGAAAAACUAACCCUCCACAAUGAAUAGGGCUUUCCACCCCCUAAGCAGUGAGCUACAGCUUUAUGUAUCAAAAAAUUGACAUGUUGACCCAAUAAGUUGAUCAAUGAACCAAGUUACCCCAGGGAUAACAGCACAAUCCGCUUUGAGAGCUCAUAUCGACAAGCGGGCUUAUGACCUCGAUGUUGGAUCGGGGUAUCCCAGUGGUGUAGCCGCUACUAAAGGU